UCUUGGUAAAGUUCCAUCACUGCAGGACCAAAGCCUCUAUACUGGGUAGGAGAAAUGUAUCUUGCUGUUUUGCUGAGAGCUCUGGACUCUCCAGUGUAAAGUCCAGGCAAACCAGACCUAUCUAGCCCAUGAUGAGUGUUGGGACGUACAGCAGAGCCUGUCUCUGACCACCUCCUCACAUCUGCACCAACCCACAAACAGAUGGUUAAUCUAGGAAUCAAAUGAAGAAAUGGUCAACUCAUUAUGAAGAAAAUUCUACUGGAGUCUGGAGUCUACUAAUUUUGUACAUCUUGAGCAAUUGCUUCUCCUUGUAAAUAUCAUGUGGUGGGAUUUGGGUAAGAUUGUUUCGUUGAUAGUAGUAUGGCAAUGUAAUUUUUUCUGUGUUUUGAAAAUUAUCCCGAAGUUAUGUACAUACCAAAAUUAAGAGACUUGAAGAAGGCAUGUAGGAGAUAUGGUAUUCCUGGCAGGAUAUUUCUGUACUUGUUCUGCAAGUUUUCAAAAAAUGUAAAAUUAGCUCAGAGUAAGAAGUAAACAUAUAUAUGUACUUAGAUACAAGUUGGCUUGAUAUUUAGAUUUUUAUGAGUUCAGCAAUACUCUGAGAAGUGUGUUCCACAAACUCUUCAAUCAAUCAUAGGUAAACUAACUACAGAAACUUUAGAGUACAAUUUGGC
rnacentral:lncRNA from 1 species